AUGAGAGAAACGAGGGAUUUAAAGAGCCUGAAGACGGCAAUUAAAACAAUUCUAAAGCAUGAAAAUGUCAAGAACCAACUGAUUUCAACUGCGUGGCUGAGAGACGAACAGAGUAGAGUUGAGGGACCUGUCAUAGUUGUCAGGAGGAGUAAAGGUCCCCUUUCUCCUGGUGCCAAAGGCAAGUUCCACAUGGCACCCCCAUCUCUAUUACCAUCAUGGGCAUCUAACCACUGGGGACUUGCACCAAACCAGAUACCUCAGUCGAUCUGGCAGUCACUAUUCCUGCGGAUGUCCUGCACCCUAAAGAUGCCCUAAACCAGAGGUACCCAUGGAGGAGGGCACUUUACCUGGCAGGGCUGGCACAGCAUCUUGCCUCUCACAACAUUGGGACCAUGCGCUAUUCAUGUCUCCAUGGCAACCGUCUCCGCCCCGUCCUGUUGCUUACCCCUCCAGGUUCCUAGCAACAUACUGUAGUACUACACUGUAGCAUCUGUUACAGAAGGGUGGUAUCGGAAUGGAGCCAAGUCAUGUAGUCUAUUUCACUGUUUUCGUUAACUCAAAGUCUAGGUUUGUUGGCUUUUGCAUGCAACCCAUAUGUUUGUUAGCAAGUACCUAUUCAGUUCAUUGGUUGUGUGUCAAUGAUAUGACUAUUUCUCCAUGGAAAGACUCCUCCAGUUUCAUCUUGAGGCUCUAACCCUGCCGUCCUCCGGGCUUCUUCAAGCCCAGCCGCAGAGGAACAACAUCCGCACUGACUGAUACACUGGCUUGGAGAGGUCUCGGCCAGGUGAGCACUACCCAAAGCCAGGCAGCUUCGAUAUAUUGUUUCCUGUUACAGUUCCAUUCUGAUCUGGAACGUUAAUGUACACAGGUGGUUACGGGAUGGAGAGUACACUGACCUGAAUUAUACAAGCCGUGCACUGGAGAGAUACUUCACGUUAAAAUCAGACUAAAGCCUACAUUCUCACCGAUUCCUUUUCUGUGUGUUUGUGUAGAUACGAGUGAGCCGCCCACUCCCCACUACA
rnacentral:lncRNA from 8 species